rnacentral:rRNA from 1 species
UACAGAGGGGCAAGCGUUGUUCGGAAUUACUGGGCGUAAAGGGCGCGUAGGCGGCCUUCUAAGUCGAACGUGAAAUCCCCGGGCUCAACCCGGGAACUGCGUCCGAUACUGGAAGGCUUGAAUCCGGAGAGGGAUGCGGAAUUCCAGGUGUAGCGGUGAAAUGCGUAGAUAUCUGGAGGAAUACCGGUGGCGAAGGCGGCAUCCUGGACCGGCAUUGACGCUGACGGAGCGAAAGCCAG